rnacentral:lncRNA from 1 species
UCAAUGAUAAUAUUAUGACCAUAAAGAAUUGUUAUUUUUAGGGAGAUAGCUAUUACUUGCAACCCUCUGGACAGGUGAAAGGACUUUGUGGUUUUCCAGGCAGAGAUGGAGAUAAAGGGUCACUGGGAUUGCCAGGGUUACCAGGAUCAUUUGGACCAGAGGGGCCUAGAGGUUUUUCAGGAAUAGAUGGCAUUCCUGGACCACAAGGAGAGAAGGUUUGUUCUGGUUAGAUAAUGGUAACAUGUCAGGUCAGUGUAAUGUGUAAAUCUAAAAUCUGUUGUAACAUAUAGGGUCUAGAGGGUCGAAGCAUGGGAAUACCUGGACCCACAGGUCAAAAGGGGGAGAGAGGACCACCUGGUGUACCAGGACAAAAAGGCGUAAAGUUAUUUGUAACAGGACCAAAGGAGCCUAAGGGUGACACUGGGGAUCCUGGAGACAUUGGAUGUCCUGGCCCAAUUGGUUUUCGUGGUCGUUCUGGUCCUAAGGGGAAGAAAGGGGAAAUUGGGGAGCCUGGGGGUCCGGUAAAUAACUAAAUAAAGAGAGAGAGAGAACUACUCAAGUUCUUCCAAUUUGUACUU